rnacentral:rRNA from 1 species
UACGGGGGGGGCAAGCGUUGUUCGGAAUUACUGGGCGUAAAGGGCUUGUAGGCGGCCAACUAAGUCAUACGUGAAAUCCCUCGGCUUAACCGGGGAACUGCGUCUGAUACUGGAUGGCUUGAGAUUGGGAGAGGGAUGCGGAAUUCCAGGUGUAGCGGUGAAAUGCGUAGAUAUCAGGAGGAACACCGGUGGCGAAGGCGGAUCUCUGGGCCGAUACUGACGCUGAGGAGCGAAAGCGUGGGGAGCGAACAGG